rnacentral:rRNA from 1 species
UACGUAGGUGGCAAGCGUUAUCCGGAAUUAUUGGGCGUAAAGAGCGCGCAGGUGGUUUAUUAAGUCUGGUGUAAAAGGCAGUGGCUCAACCAUUGUAUGCAUUGGAAACUGGUAGACUUGAGUGCAGGAGAGGAGAGUGGAAUUCCAUGUGUAGCGGUGAAAUGCGUAGAUAUAUGGAGGAACACCGGUGGCGAAAGCGGCUCUCUGGCCUGUAACUGACACUGAGGCUCGAAAGCGUGGGGAGCAAACAGG